rnacentral:rRNA from 1 species
AAAGCCUCUAAGCAUCAGGUAACAUCAAAUCGUACCCCAAACCGACACAGGUGGUCAGGUAGAGAAUACCAAGGCGCUUGAGAGAACUCGGGUGAAGGAACUAGGCAAAAUGGUGCCGUAACUUCGGGAGAAGGCACGCUGAUAUGUAGGUGAAGUCCCUCGCGGAUGGAGCUGAAAUCAGUCGAAGAUACCAGCUGGCUGCAACUGUUUAUUAAAAACACAGCACUGUGCAAACACGAAAGUGGACGUAUACGGUGUGACGCCUGCCCGGUGCCGGAAGGUUAAUUGAUGGGGUCAGCGCAAGCGAAGCUCUUGAUCGAAGCCCCGGUAAACGGCGGCCGUAACUAUAACGGUCCUAAGGUAGCGAAAUUCCUUGUCGGGUAAGUUCCGACCUGCACGAAUGGCGUAAUGAUGGCCAGGCUGUCUCCACCCGAGACUCAGUGAAAUUGAACUCGCUGUGAAGAUGCAGUGUACCCGCGGCAAGACGGAAAGACCCCGUGAACCUUUACUAUAGCUUGACACUGAACAUUGAGCCUUGAUGUGUAGGAUAGGUGGGAGGCUUAGAAGUGUGGACGCCAGUCUGCAUGGAGCCGACCUUGAAAUACCACCCUUUAAUGUUUGAUGUUCUAACGUUGACCCGUAAUCCGGGUUGCGGACAGUGUCUGGUGGGUAGUUUGACUGGGGCGGUCUCCUCCUAAAGAGUAACGGAGGAGCACGAAGGUUGGCUAAUCCUGGUCGGACAUCAGGAGGUUAGUGCAAUGGCAUAAGCCAGCUUGACUGCGAGCGUGACGGCGCGAGCAGGUGCGAAAGCAGGUCAUAGUGAUCCGGUGGUUCUGAAUGGAAGGGCCAUCGCUCAACGGAUAAAAGGUACUCCGGGGAUAACAGGCUGAUACCGCCCAAGAGUUCAUAUCGACGGCGGUGUUUGGCACCUCGAUGUCGGCUCAUCACAUCCUGGGGCUGAAGUAGGUCCCAAGGGUAUGGCUGUUCGCCAUUUAAAGUGGUACGCGAGCUGGGUUUAGAACGUCGUGAGACAGUUCGGUCCCUAUCUGCCGUGGGCGCUGGAGAACUGAGGGGGGCUGCUCCUAGUACGAGAGGACCGGAGUGGACGCAUCACUGGUGUUCGGGUUGUCAUGCCAAUGGCACUGCCCGGUAGCUAAAUGCGGAAGAGAUAAGUGCUGAAAGCAUCUAAGCACGAAACUUGCCCCGAGAUGAGUUCUCCCUGACUCCUUGAGAGUCCUGAAGGAACGUUGAAGACGACGACGUUGAUAGGCCGGGUGUGUAAGCGCAGCGAUGCGUUGAGCUAACCGGUACUAAUGAACCGUGAGG